rnacentral:rRNA from 1 species
GCAUAUCAAUAAGCGGAGGAAAAGAAACUAACAAGGAUUGCCCCAGUAAUGGCGAAUGAAAAGGCAAAAGCUCAGAUUGAAAAUCUUAGUUGCAUGACUAAGAGUUGUAGUCUGGAGUUGCGAUCGGAAGCUAAAGUUCAAGCAUAAGUCGGUUGGAAAGCCGCGCUAAAAAGGGUGAUAGCCCCGUAGUCGGCUUGGACUUGGCGUACGAUCAAAAACAAAGAGUCGGGUAGUUUGGGAUUGCUGCCCUAAUUUGGAGAUAAACUUCUUCUAAAGCUAAAUAUCGAUGGGAGACCGAUAGCGAACAAGUACUGUGAAGGAAAGAUGAAAAGAACUUUGAAAAGAGAGAUAAAAGAUUUGAAACCGUUGAAAAGGAAGCGGUGGAAGAAUUAUUAUUUGCUGCUGGUGUUUACUCUGUUCAAAGACUGGUCUUGNCCCUAAGCACUUAAUAGGCGUAAGGUAUUAUCAGUUUAGGCUCUGUAUUUGCUAGUAGUAAAAGACAAAAUGGAUUAAAGCUGGCGGACUAGUCUGACGAGAGCACGGGCAACCGACUCUUCGGAUAAACGUUGGUUUAGAUCGAGGGUUUACGAAAGAUUUUGUCAAAAUGGCUUCUACUGACCCGUCUUGAAACACGGACC